CAUAAGACCAAACCACAACCCAAGGAGAAUAAAAAGCCCACCAGAUCUAUUACUAUGUUUAUUUUAGAAGAAAUAUAGCAGCAAGAUAUUCUUUACAAGAAAGAGCAGACUAAAGGGAAUUAGUGUGGCUCUCAUGGGGCCCCACCUGAGGAGCUCCUGGUUUAGAAGAGAAUGAGGAGUUCCUGCAAGUCUUCUGAGGAGAAUACUGCCCACCCCUCAGAUGAGGAAGAAGGUCCCUGUGGAGGUAGAAGAAUACAGAAUGUAAUGUAGGUCUGGAAUUGCAGAAACUUGCACUGGAGGACUACUCUUUUUCUGUAAAAAAUGCAAGAACUGUUCCAAAUUGUGACAUGUAGAAAUACUGGAAAAGAAUUGGAAGUAGCUUUCACCUGAUCUGCGUUCUUGUCUGCCACACUUGUAUAUGCUGUUUAGGCAGCUGUACCAAAUAGCGCAUUGAAAGUCUUUUGCCUGUGAAAAAUAAACCUACAUUUUA